rnacentral:rRNA from 1 species
AAUCAACGCUGGCGGCGUGCCUAACACAUGCAAGUCGAACGAGAAAGAGGGGGCAACUCCUCGAGUAAAGUGGCGACCGGGUGAGUAACACGUGACUAACCUACCCUUGAGUGGGGAAUAACCUUCCGAAAGGAGGGCUAAUACCGCAUAACAUCGCGAGGCGAGAUUCCUUGUGAUCAAAGGAGCAAUUCGCUUAAGGAGGGGGUCGCGGCUGAUUAGCUAGUUGGUGAGGUAACGGCUCACCAAGGCGAUGAUCAGUAUCCGGCCUGAGAGGGCGCACGGACACACUGGAACUGAAACACGGUCCAGACUCCUACGGGAGGCAGCAGUGGGGAAUUUUGCGCAAUGGGGGAAACCCUGACGCAGCAACGCCGCGUGGAGGAUGAAGGUCUUUGGAUUGUAAACUCCUUUCGAUCGGGACGAUUAUGACGGUACCGGAAGAAGAAGCACCGGCUAACUCUGUGCCAGCCGCCGCAGUAACAC